rnacentral:rRNA from 1 species
AUUGAACGCUGGCGGCAUGCUUUACACAUGCAAGUCGAACGGUAACAGGCCGCAAGGUGCUGACGAGUGGCGAACGGGUGAGUAAUGCAUCGGAACGUGCCCAGUCGUGGGGGAUAACGCAGCGAAAGCUGUGCUAAUACCGCAUACGAUCUGUGGAUGAAAGCGGGGGACCGAAAGGCCUCGCGCGAUUGGAGCGGCCGCUGUCAGAUUAGGUAGUUGGUGGGGUAAAGGCUCACCGAGCCAACGAUCUGUAGCUGGUCUGAGAGGACGACCAGCCACACUGGGACUGAGACACGGCCCAGACUCCUACGGGAGGCAGCAGUGGGGAAUUUUGGACAAUGGGCGCAAGCCUGAUCCAGCAAUGCCGCGUGCAGGAAGAAGGCCUUCGGGUUGUAAACUGCUUUUGUACGGAGCGAAAAGGCUCUCUCUAAUACAGGGGGCUCAUGACGGUACCGUAAGAAUAAGCACCGGCUAACUACGUGCCAGCCGCCGCGGUAACAC